GACGAAGGUGGCUAGCGUUGUUCGGAAUUACUGGGCUUAAAGCGCACGCAGGCGGCUUAUCAAGCGACUUGUGAAAUCCCUCGUCUCAACCGAGGAAUCGCUGGGCGAACUGAUAGGCUUGAGGCAGGUAGGGGCGAGUGGAACUCUUGGUGGAGCGGUGGAAUGCGUAGAUAUCAAGAGGAACGCCAGAGGUGAAGACGACUCGCUGGGCCUGUCCUGACGCUGAGGUGCGAAAGCCAGGGGAGCAAACGGG
rnacentral:rRNA from 1 species